rnacentral:rRNA from 1 species
GACGAACCUUGCUAACGUUAUUCGGAAUUACUGGGCUUAAAGGGUGCGUAGGCGGUGCAGAAAGUUGGGUGUGAAAGCCCUCGGCUCAACCGAGGAAUUGCGCCCAAAACUGCUGCACUAGGGGAAGACAGAGGUACGCGGAACUUAGGGUGGAGCGGUGAAAUGCGUUGAUAUCCUAAGGAACACCGGUGGCGAAGGCGGGUCUCUGGGCCGAUACUGACGCUGAGGAGCGAAAGCGUGGGGAGCGAACAGG